rnacentral:rRNA from 1 species
GUCCUUUUGAUUUUUAUAUAAGGUCUGACCUGCCCUAUGAAUAUUUAAAUGGCCGCGGUAUACUAACCGUGCAAAGGUAGCAUAGUCAUUUGUCUCUUAAUUGGAGGCUUGAAUGAAGGGUUGGACGAGAUAUAAGCUUUCUUUGUUAUAUUUUAUUGAAUUUGACUUUUGAGUUAAAAGGCUUAAAUUUUUUUAUAGGACGAGAAGACCCUAUAGAAUUUUAUAUAUUUGUAUAAUUGAUUUAUUUAUUUAUUAUUUAAUUUUUUGUUUAAAUAUAUUUUGUUGGGGCGAUGGGAAGAUUUUAAUAACUCUUUUUUGUUCUAAUCAUUGAUUUAUGUUUUAUUCUGAUCCUUUUUUAGAGAUUAUAAGAUUAAAUUACCUUAGGGAUAACAGCGUAAUUCUUUUGGAGAGUUCUUAUCGAUAAAAGAGUUUGCGA